UGAGUUUGAUCAUGGCUCAGGACGAACGCUGGCGGCGUGCCUAAUACAUGCAAGUUGAGCGCUGAAGGUUGGUACUUGUACCGACUGGAUGAGCAGCGAACGGGUGAGUAACGCGUGGGGAAUCUGCCUUUGAGCGGGGGACAACAUUUGGAAACGAAUGCUAAUACCGCAUAAAAACUUUAAACACAAGUUUUAAGUUUGAAAGAUGCAAUUGCAUCACUCAAAGAUGAUCCCGCGUUGUAUUAGCUAGUUGGUGAGGUAAAGGCUCACCAAGGCGAUGAUACAUAGCCGACCUGAGAGGGUGAUCGGCCACAUUGGGACUGAGACACGGCCCAAACUCCUACGGGAGGCAGCAGUAGGGAAUCUUCGGCAAUGGACGAAAGUCUGACCGAGCAACGCCGCGUGAGUGAAGAAGGUUUUCGGAUCGUAAAACUCUGUUGGUAGAGAAGAACGUUGGUGAGAGUGGAAAGCUCAUCAAGUGACGGUAACUACCCAGAAAGGGACGGCUAACUACGUGCCAGCCGCCGCCGUAACACAA
rnacentral:rRNA from 1 species